rnacentral:rRNA from 1 species
AGUGAACGCUGGCGGUAGGCCUAACACAUGCAAGUCGAACGGCAGCACAGUAAGAGCUUGCUCUUACGGGUGGCGAGUGGCGGACGGGUGAGGAAUACAUCGGAAUCUACUUUUUCGUGGGGGAUAACGUAGGGAAACUUACGCUAAUACCGCAUACGACCUACGGGUGAAAGCAGGGGAUCUUCGGACCUUGCGCGAUUGAAUGAGCCGAUGUCGGAUUAGCUAGUUGGCGGGGUAAAGGCCCACCAAGGCGACGAUCCGUAGCUGGUCUGAGAGGAUGAUCAGCCACACUGGAACUGAGACACGGUCCAGACUCCUACGGGAGGCAGCGGUGGGGAAUAUUGGACAAUGGGCGCAAGCCUGAUCCAGCCAUACCGCGUGGGUGAAGAAGGCCUUCGGGUUGUAAAGCCCUUUUGUUGGGAAAGAAAAGUAGCAGGUUAAUACCCCGCUGUUCUGACGGUACCCAAAGAAUAAGCACCGGCUAACUUCGUG